CUAUAAACUCCGUCGUGAUGGGGAUAAAGCAUUGAAAUUAUUGCUUUUGAACGAGGAAUUCCUAGUAAGCGUAAGUCAUUAACUUGCGUUGAUUACGUCCCUGCCCUUUGUACACACCGCCCGUCGCUACUACCGAUGAAUGGCUUAGUGAGAAUUUUGGAGAGAUUUAUUUAGGGGCGACUCUUUUUAAAUUUCAAAGUUAUUCAAACUUGGUGAUUUAGAGGAAGUAAAAGUCGUAACAAGGUUUCCGUAGGUGAACCUGCGGAAGGAUCAUUAAGAAA
rnacentral:rRNA from 2 species